GCGCGCGGGCGUGGGGGCCGUGGCUCAGCCCCCCUUCCUCUCGCUCCCUCCGCCUCCCUGGGCGCCCCCUCGCCCCCUUCCUCUCGCGUCCCCGGGUUCUCGCCCCUUCUUUCCUGAUGCCUGCCUGAUUUUCUGGAAAGACCGACACCCCCAGUCGCCCCCACCGCGGCUCCCGGUUCCUUCCCCUGCAGAGCAGACGGGGGCUGGAGUAGGGGCCAACAUGGGUGACAUGGGUGGACCGGCAGGGCGGUCCCUGGGGUGCCCUUUAACUCUUUCUGUGCCACAUCCCCGGUCUCUGGCCAGUCCUGUCGCGCUAAGGCCCCUCCAGCAGCGCUGACCCUGGUCCCCCACCUGCUGGUCCUGCGGCCGCGGGGCGCUCUCUCCUCCGUCCCACCCGCUCCUUCCACACCACCUCCUUUCCUGGGAGUGGAGAAGCCCCAGCCAGAACCCCUGCCUUCCCCAAGAGGCACGCUCAGAGGGACAUUCUCCCCUUCCUCACUCCCCCUAGAGCCACAUCACACCUGGCUUUGGGGCCCUAGAACCUCAGCCCGCGCCCCUCCCCUUCCACCCCCAGCCAUCCCUGCUCUGUGCCCAGUGAUCUUGGGGUCACCACAACCCCAUGGCGCCUUGAGGCCUCACCUUUCCUGGCCUCUCAGCAUCCUGGGACACUGAUGGUCAUGCCUUCCUUCUAGAAAGUUCUCUCCGAGGCUGUGGCUUCCAGGAUGAGCACUCUCCUCCUCCCACUUCCUCCCCUUCUCCUUCCCCCUCCUCCCUUCUCCCUGGAGAGGUCUUCCUCCAAGUCCCAGUCUUCUUCCCCACCCAGAGCCCCUCCCGCUGACACUUGUCUGCAGUGCCUGUCUCCGCUCCCGCUAGGAAGCCUCCCCUCCGGCAUCUCCAAUCCAUCUCUGGGUCCUGCUCCACCUGCAUUUCCCUAGACCUGUCCUGGCCACCCUCACCCUGGGACACCUCCUGCCCGUGGAGAGCUCCUCUGAUAGGUGCCGUCCUUGGUCUUGGGGGUCCUUUCUCCCUAAUUCUACUUCUGUUUUGGGGGCGUGGGAACCCAGGGUCUUAACCCCAGCCAUUCCCCCUCCCAGGGGCCACUUCCCUCUGAAGCUUAGCCCAGCUCUGUGACCCCCACAGGCCUGCCCCCACCUGGUCCUCACUCCCCUGCAUAGCCACACUGUGGGGGCUCCAUGCUUCCCAGCCCAUAGGAAGCCCUGUUCCCAGAGGGGGCCAUUCUGUUUUAGUUGGAGCAGUGGCCAGAGGCAAAGGUCAGAAGGCAAAGGUCAUAAAAGUUUGUCUCUACCUGCCAGCAUCUGCUCCUGCUACUGCAUCUUCUCCCCUCUCCACCCAAACCCUCCCUCAGCUCCUGCCCCCACCUCUCCAGAGGCACAGACAACAGGGUUCUGAUCUUGGGUCAUGGUGCUCCCCCUGCCAGCCUCAGUCCGAGACCUCUGUGAAUGGCGGUGAUGGCUAAUGGGAUGAGGGGGACCACCUCCUGGUGGCUGCAGGGACUGGGGUGAGGGUGCUGUAGGCUCUGCCUAAGUCAAGUGCCAUGGGGCUGAAGAGACGGCGCACCGGCCCUGGAGAAGAGUCCUCCCUGCCCUCCUGUGUCUGGCCUUGUUUCCUGGAGGACAGGUCCCCACGGGGCAGAGGCCCAGCAGUCCCAGGUAAGCGCUGGGUGGCCGGAGUCUGGUACCUGCAGGAAGAGAAGUAGAAGAAUAAAUUUGGAGUGUGUGAAGGGGGCAAAGCCUGAAAGGUUCGGACUCAGUGUGGGGAGGGAGAGGGAACAGAUGGGGUGGGGCACCUCCCCUGGGCUGGGUGACCCUUAUUUAUAUGACUGAAUCCAUGACAAGAUUGUUUGCUUGACCAAACUGUAGUCCGGCUUCAGAACCUUCUCACAGGCUCAUCUGCAUUCUGCCUUAUAAAAUCCAGAUUCAGCAAGAACUCUGCUAAGUCAGUUUGGCAAGAAGCCUCCAUCCCCCCAUAUCUGAUCAGGGUCCUCAGCCUCCGCCACCCCCAGGCGAUGUCUGCUUACCUUGCCUGCCUUCAGCAAGCUUCCUUUUACCUGGGUAGGGUCCUCAGCUUCCACCACCCCCAGGCGACGUCUGCUCACCCUGGCUGCCCGCAGCAAGAUUCCUGUUAUCUGGGUAGAGUCCUCAGCCUCCGCCACCCCCAGGCGAUGUCUGCUCACCUUGCCUGCCUUAAGCAAGAUUCCUGUUACCUGGGUUCCUUAGCCUCUGCCACCUCCAGGCCGUGUCUGCUAACCCUGUCUGCCGUCAGCAAGCUUCGUUUUACCUGGUCCCGAACAAAAUAUGUGUUUCAACUGCUAUCCAGUUCUGGUUUCCCUUGACAUUGACGGCACCUGCAGAACUUAAUUUCGGUGUCCAGCAAGACUUAUGGAGCCCAUACUGCCAGCGAGACUCAGAAGCCCCACCCUGGAGUUCUGCAAGGGGCUGAUGAGGAGGAGGGAUGAAAGCGACAGCCGGAAGCCAAGGCGGAGGGACCAGGGGUGGGAGGGGAGGCUGCAUCUGGGCCCAGAAAAACGUGGAAAUGCAGGAAGGGAAACAGGAGGGUGGUGGGGCUGCCCCUCGGAGAGACCUUCUGUGAGCAUUAAAGGGCAUUUUUUUUCCAGGUGUCUUUACUGUGCAUUAAUACAUUUUUACUUUG
rnacentral:lncRNA from 1 species